UCUCUGUGGUAUUCGUGAGUUUGUCAUUAAAUCCCUUGAGCCUAUUUAAAUACCCCGGGGUCGCUUGUUAAAUGGCCGUGUGCACACCCGUCUAGGGGAGCCUUAAGCCUUUUACAGCGAACCCACUUGAACCUCUGGUUCAAGGUCAAUGACCUCCACGGUAUUACGGAGCG
rnacentral:other from 1 species